rnacentral:tRNA from 1 species
AGCCGUGGCCUACUGGUUAGCGCUUCGGACUUGUAACCGGAGGGUUGCUGGUUCAAACCCCGACCAUAUGGCUG